rnacentral:rRNA from 1 species
CAGCAGCCACGGGAAAACGGAGGAUCCAAGCGUUAUCCGGAAUCAUUGGGUUUAAAGGGUCCGUAGGCGGUUUAGUAAGUCAGUGGUGAAAGCCCAUCGCUCAACGGUGGAACGGCCAUUGAUACUGCUGAACUUGAAUUAUUAGGAAGUAACUAGAAUAUGUAGUGUAGCGGUGAAAUGCUUAGAGAUUACAUGGAAUACCAAUUGCGAAGGCAGGUUACUACUAAUUGAUUGACGCUGAUGGACGAAAGCGUGGGGAGCGAACAGGAUUAGAUACCCGCGUAGUCCCUGUCUCUUAUAC